rnacentral:tRNA from 1 species
GUCCGGGUGGCGAAAUUGGUAGACGCACCAGCUUGAGGGGCUGGCGCCCGUUUGGGUGUGGCAGUUCGAAUCUGCUCUCGGACACAA